CCCUUAGAUGUCCUGGGCCGCACGCGCGCUACACUGAUGCAUGCAACGAGUUUAUAACCUUGGCCUGAAAGGCCUGGGUAAUCUUUUGAACGUGCAUCGUGAUAGGGAUAGAUUAUUGCAAUUGUUAAUCUUGAACGAGGAAUUCCUAGUAGGCGCGAGUCAACAACUCGCACCGAUUUCGUCCCUGCUCUUUGUACACACCGCCCGUCGCUCCUACCGAUGAAUGAAUCGGUGAGAAUUUGGGAGAGCUGAAGAGAGGAUUUGGGUUGGAAACGGCCUAGAUCUGAAACGUGUCGAGAGAUGCGGGAGCUACAAACUUGUUCAAACCUGUUCAUUUAGAGGAAGGAGAAGUCGUAACA
rnacentral:rRNA from 1 species